UUUUUAAGUGCUUGUCAUUUUUUGAGAGAGUUUCCUGAAGAUAUGGGUAACCUCAUAAACCUUCGGUAUCUUUUUCUCCCUGUACAGUCAGAAGAGGAUUAUUUCUAUAAUUUGCCAUUAAGAGUAGAAAACUCAACUAGUCUUCAGACAUUGAGCACAUUCAUUGUUGGGCCAAAAACAUAGCAGCGAGUUGAGGAACUUGUCCCAACAACUCCGUGGGAGUCUGGACAUUUCACAGUUGGAAAAUGUAGGCUAUUAUAAUGAGAAAGAAACCAUGGUGGACGGUUUAAAGAACAACACAAACCUUCUUGGGCUACGACUGCAGUGGAGUGCUUAUGAAAGCGAUGAUAGUUUUCCUGAUUUGGGAAGAGAUGAAAAAGUAGAAGACGAUGUACUAGACCGAUUACAGCCUCCUACAAAUCUUGAAGCGCUAUGGAUUCAAAACUAUGGUGGUAUGAGAUUCCCAAGCUGGA